rnacentral:rRNA from 1 species
GACGAACGCUGGCGGCGUGCUUAACACAUGCAAGUCGAACGGAAAGGCCCUGCUUUUGUGGGGUGCUCGAGUGGCGAACGGGUGAGUAACACGUGAGUAACCUGCCCUUGACUUUGGGAUAACUUCAGGAAACUGGGGCUAAUACCGGAUAGGAGCUCCUGCUGCAUGGUGGGGGUUGGAAAGUUUCGGCGGUUUGGGAUGGACUCGCGGCUUAUCAGCUUGUUGGUGGGGUAGUGGCUUACCAAGGCUUUGACGGGUAGCCGGCCUGAGAGGGUGACCGGCAACAUUGGGACUGCGAUACGGCCCAGACUCCUACGGGAGGCAGCAGUGGGGAAUAUUGCACAAUGGGCGGAAGCCUGAUGCAGCAACGCCGCGUGCGGGAUGACGGCCUUCGGGUUGUAAACCGCUUUCGCCUGUGACGAAGCGUGAGUGACGGUAAUGGGUAAAGAAGCACCGGCUAACUACGUG